UACAGAGGUCCCGAGCGUUGUUCGGAUUCAUUGGGCGUAAAGGGUGCGUAGGUGGCGCUGUAAGUGGGGUGUGAAAUCCCGGGGCUUAACCCCGGGACUGCAUUCCAUACUGCGGUGCUUGAGGACUGGAGAGGAGACUGGAAUUUACGGUGUAGCAGUGAAAUGCGUAGAGAUCGUAAGGAAGACCAGUGGCGAAGGCGGGUCUCUGGACAGUUCCUGACACUGAGGCACGAAGGCAUGGGGAGCGAACGGG
rnacentral:rRNA from 1 species